rnacentral:lncRNA from 1 species
UUAUUCUCUUUUCACUAUUAAUAUGCUUAUGAGAUUGAUAAAGAAUGCCUAACAAUAGGUGUACUGUACCUUUAUAUUAUUAGGGCACUUGACAAAGUAUCUUAUGAUCUUUGUGCCAAUAAAAUAGCAAAAUGUAGGCUGAAUGAGAAGGCAAGAUUAAGAGGCAGCUGAAAGCUUGUCCUCAGAAGAUUGGUUAGCCAGAGUGGUGUCAAUUUAAAUCCAGCUCUUAAGUAGAGCAGGCUUUGGAAAUAUAUACCUGAAUUUAUCUUAGUGAAUAAUUGUAUCCUGCAAAGUGAGAGUAACCAGCAAUAUUUUGGGAUACAGAGAGUUUAUGCACUAUGCUUUUCUCCCAGAAAGCACAGGAAAAAUCCCCAAACCUAAGAGUUAUAUUUACAGGCUUUUAAAAGUCAUCCUCUGCUAUCAUGGAUCUAACUCUUAAAUUUUUCACUGACAGAACACCUACUAUAAAUAACUGGGAGAUAAACUCUGAUUAUAGCUUCCAUUUAAUUAACAUCCACUCCUAACAGAACUUAUUAUUUGCUCAUGAAACUGAAAUUUACUAUGGUAUAGAAAAACUAAUGUCUCAUAUGUAUUUCGGCCCAAAGGAGAAGAAAUGUGGAAGUGGGAAGUUAAUGAAGAAAAUGGAUGUGCAUCAAGGUAGAAAGAAAAUGCUCACUUUUGUAAAUAGGGUUUUACUUUACGGCCAUGGUUCUUAACCAGGAGAAAUUGUGCUUUCCAGGGGACAUUUGACAAUAUGUGGAGAUAUUUUUGAUUGUCAUGACAGGUGAUGGAUUUCUACUGUCAUCUAGUAGGUAGAGCUGGGGAUGCUGUUAACCCUUCUGCAGUGCACAAGAUAGCUCCCCAAAACAAACAGCUAUCUGAUCCAAAAUGUUAAUAGUACCAAGGUAGAGAAACGCUUCUUUAGAAAGAGCCUCUUACAUUUUGGUGUGCAUCAGAAUCACCUGGAGAGUUUGUUAAAACAUAUUCCUAUGUGGGGGUCUAGAGUCAGAAUUAGAGUUUCUGAUUCAGGAUGUCUGGAUGGGACCUGAAAAUAUAACACAUCCUAGAAACACUGAUGUUGCUGCUCUGAAGAUCACACCACUGCUCUAGGGCCAGUAUUUUUAUUGUAUUUAUUUAUUUAUUUAUUUAUUUUGAGAUGGAGUUUCGCUCUUGUUUCCUAGGCUGGAGUGCAAUGGCACGAUCAUGGCUCACUGCAACUCUGCCUCCCAG